UGGUUGUUACAAGAUCAUCAUCACCUCUUCCUAUAAAAGGGAAUAGCUUGCUGCUCUAGCACAUAUAUGGCUUUCAUAUAUCCUUUCUGCAACUAUCUUCAUUCUAUCCUUGCUACUCUACUCUUUUGUUCUGCAAUCCUCUUCUACAGGGCUAGGAGUGUUUUACAGGUCACACUUGCGUGGUGCUCGUUCGCAGGGAGACGAAAUCGUUCCUAAUACGACAACGCUCGAUCCAUUAAUUGAGAAGACCACAGGAAAUGGCGGCAAAUGAUGUUCCUAACAAUGGAAUGGAAGACGGCGACUUGAAUGGAUGGAAGGAAUCGUCGAAAGCAUUACUAGGCAGUUUCCAAGCACACUCUGAGCCAAUUGGAAUUUCUAAUGUCCCAAGAAAACUCCGUGAAGGUAACAAGAACGCUUUCAUGCCAAAGACCAUUUCCAUCGGCCCUCGUUACAAGGGAGCUAGAAGGGACCUAAUGAAAUGGCAAAACAUCAAAUUGCACUCCAUGCAAUCUCUUCUUCAUCGGGGACCAAACAAACCAGCAAAAAUAAAGCUUCAAGAAUGCAUGGAGGCCAUUUUGAAGUUGGAAAAAGAAGUUCGCGCAAACUAUGCAGAUGAUCUGAAGAUGGAAUGGAACGACCUUGCGAAUAUCAUGUUGUCUGACGCUGGUUUCUUGCUUGAGCUUCUCAUUAGUUCUUCAAAGGAAUUCAAUGAAAAACUUAAAAGCCGGUUGGCGCCUCCCAACCCGGAUGGCAAAGUAAAGAGAACAGGGGAGGUAGUGACUGAUUUGUUGGUGUUGGAGAACCAAAUACCGCUUAUCAUUCUCCAUAAGUUGUCUGAAAUAAUUCUAGUUGAGGAUGAUAUUUCAAUUGAAAGUUUGGCACUGAAUUUCUUUGGCUACAUCCCGGACGAAAGAUUCAAGCCGGACUUUAACCCUGGUGUUGCGUCUCGUCACUUUCUUGAACUUAUCCACUCCUACAUCUCUGAAGAUAGUGAAGAAGAGGAAGGAGAGCAACAGGUUCAGAGAAACGACGACAGAUGCGAAGGGGAUAAGAGAAGAAACUACCGAUGCUGCCAGCAAUGUUCAGCAUUAAAUGUGUUAAUAACUUCCAAACGGUAUUGAAUACCUGUGCCAAUUGUGCUUUCGUUUGUGGGUAUGAUGUGGAAGAUGCGAAGGGGAUAAGAGAAGAAACUACCGAUGCUGCCAGCAAUGUUCAGCAGCUUACUUCCUAUGCUCAACUCAAUCGAUGUGCUUCCAUUCUUGCAGGUACUGGGGUUACAAUAAUCAAAACUAUACGCAGUAACGAGGAAAAGCAUGAGAACCAAACUCAAGGACCAAAUGAAAUAAGGGGCUUCAACUUUAACAUAAAAUUUCAGAGGACCAAUGGAACUCUGGAAAUUCCACAGCUUCACAUCACAAAAUCAACAGAAGUGACGUGGCGGAAUCUCAUUGCUUGGGAGCAAAGCCACAACGGAUUCAGCUGCAAACACAAGUGUACUUGGGCUGCAUUAUUUUUCAACGGCUUAAUGUGUUGCGAAAACGAUGUUCAGCUUCUCAAAGAUAAACAAGUGAUAGUGGAUCACUUGGACUUGGGCAACCGCAAAUUGUUAGAGUUCUUCCGUUCCAUCAUCCAUGGAGUUGAUUCUGACAAGGCAAGUGAUUCUCCUUACUGGGAAAUGGUUAGCGUGAUUAACUCCUAUCACGGCACAUGUUGCCUCGGCAUAAAAAAAUACUCCAUAAUACUGCGCCAUUCUUAGAUCCCAACAGUUUUUCGCCACUUUGACCGACUUGUGUUGCGUGGUUACAACCUUCUCAUUGGAAUGAUAUCUCUUUACGCUCUUAUGCAGACCAUCUAUACUAUCCUCGGCUACUAUAAACAUCCAAGAGUGAGAAAUUCUGGUCAAAUGUUUUCGCCGCCUCCUCGCUCCCUACCUCGCCGCCCCCCACCCCUACCACCACCUCCUCCUCUCGGAGGCAUUCACUAAUUUUGUGUUCUUUUAUUUCCAAAUAAAAGGAAUCGACUAUUUAUAUUAGAUGUAAAUAUGAACAUAAUGUAAAGUGGAGUAUCUCAUUUUGGAAG